AAAUUGAAGAGUUUGAUCAUGGCUCAGAUUGAACGCUGGCGGCAGGCCUAACACAUGCAAGUCGAGCGGUAGCACAGAGAGCUUGCUCUCGGGUGACGAGCGGCGGACGGGUGAGUAAUGUCUGGGAAACUGCCUGAUGGAGGGGGAUAACUACUGGAAACGGUAGCUAAUACCGCAUAAUGUCGAAAGACCAAAGUGGGGGACCUUCGGGCCUCAUGCCAUCAGAUGUGCCCAGAUGGGAUUAGCUAGUAGGUGGGGUAACGGCUCACCUAGGCGACGAUCCCUAGCUGGUCUGAGAGGAUGACCAGCCACACUGGAACUGAGACACGGUCCAGACUCCUACGGGAGGCAGCAGUGGGGAAUAUUGCACAAUGGGCGCAAGCCUGAUGCAGCCAUGCCGCGUGUGUGAAGAAGGCCUUCGGGUUGUAAAGCACUUUCAGCGGGGAGGAAGGCGGUGAGGUUAAUAACCUCAUCGAUUGACGUUACCCGCAGAAGAAGCACCGGCUAACUCCGUGCCAGCAGCCGCGGUAAUACGGAGGGUGCAAGCGUUAAUCGGAAUUACUGGGCGUAAAGCGCACGCAGGCGGUCUGUCAAGUCGGAUGUGAAAUCCCCGGGCUUAACCUGGGAACUGCAUUCGAAACUGGCAGGCUAGAGUCUUGUAGAGGGGGGUAGAAUUCCAGGUGUAGCGGUGAAAUGCGUAGAGAUCUGGAGGAAUACCGGUGGCGAAGGCGGCCCCCUGGACAAAGACUGACGCUCAGGUGCGAAAGCGUGGGGAGCAAACAGGAUUAGAUACCCUGGUAGUCCACGCCGUAAACGAUGUCGAUUUGGAGGUUGUGCCCUUGAGGCGUGGCUUCCGGAGCUAACGCGUUAAAUCGACCGCCUGGGGAGUACGGCCGCAAGGUUAAAACUCAAAUGAAUUGACGGGGGCCCGCACAAGCGGUGGAGCAUGUGGUUUAAUUCGAUGCAACGCGAAGAACCUUACCUGGUCUUGACAUCCACAGAACUUUCCAGAGAUGGAUUGGUGCCUUCGGGAACUGUGAGACAGGUGCUGCAUGGCUGUCGUCAGCUCGUGUUGUGAAAUGUUGGGUUAAGUCCCGCAACGAGCGCAACCCUUAUCCUUUGUUGCCAGCGGUCCGGCCGGGAACUCAAAGGAGACUGCCAGUGAUAAACUGGAGGAAGGUGGGGAUGACGUCAAGUCAUCAUGGCCCUUACGACCAGGGCUACACACGUGCUACAAUGGCAUAUACAAAGAGAAGCGACCUCGCGAGAGCAAGCGGACCUCAUAAAGUAUGUCGUAGUCCGGAUUGGAGUCUGCAACUCGACUCCAUGAAGUCGGAAUCGCUAGUAAUCGUAGAUCAGAAUGCUACGGUGAAUACGUUCCCGGGCCUUGUACACACCGCCCGUCACACCAUGGGAGUGGGUUGCAAAAGAAGUAGGUAGCUUAACCUUCGGGAGGGCGCUUACCACUUUGUGAUUCAUGACUGGGGUGAAGUCGUAACAAGGUAACCGUAGGGGAACCUGCGGUUGGAUCACCUCCUUACCUUAAAGAA
rnacentral:rRNA from 1 species